UGACCUCGUUGUUCACCUGCCUCAGCCUCUCAAAGUGUUGGUAUUACAGGUGUGAGACACUGCGCUCGGCCUGAUACAUGAUUUCUUUCCCCCAAACUCAGAUAUCAGAUCAAGGUCACUGUUAUCUUCCCAAGAACGUGCAAAGUGCCUGACAUAGAGUAGGUGCCAGUAAAUAAUUAUUGAAUGAAAGAAUACACAUAUCAAAAUGGUAUCUACUUUCUAAAGGUUAAAAAAAAAACCUUAACAAAUUUUUCUUCAUAGUUUGAGAAAAAAAUCUUGUUUCCCGAAGAGCUAAUGAAAGGAAACACACAUUCACAUAUACAAUACUUUUUUUUUUUUCAAACUUUGGGGAAUGGAUCCAUAGUAAAUACUCCUCCCCAUACAUUCGCCUGCUUCACGUUUUUUUAAUUUUCUAAUAUAUUAUCAAAAGUCCUGAGGUGACAUCUAAACUUCUUCUCUCCUCAACUUACAGACAGAGAAAACAAAAGCUCAGCUGGAAGAGACUGAAAUGGAGGCACCUACUUUCAAGCCCAGACUUUAAGAGAGAAUUCCUAUGAGUUGGAUGUCGGACCUGUUAGAACAGGAGUAAGCAAGUUUUUUGGUAACGGGCCGGACGGUAAACGUUUUAGGUUUGGGUGAAAGGAACAAUGGAAGGACCAGAGCCAGUGAGAGCCGGGGGAAUGGCCCAGCAGCAGCUGCAGUCAUAGAAGGAUGUGACCUUCCCAGAGAGGCUGAAGCAGGGAGUCCAUGAGGUUCAGUGGUCUCCAGAAAUGUACCUCUGUGUGUGGAAAUGUUCCAGAAGGUCACUCUGUCUACAGGGCCGUUGCUUCACUGCAGAUUAGAUGUCCUCCCAGAACCUUCCAGGGCACUAAUGGCCUAAACAGCUCUGCUCAUCAGCUCUCGUUAGUGUAUUUUAUGUGUGGCCCAAGACAAUUCUUCUUCUUCCAAUGUGGCCCAGGGAAGUCGAAAGAUUGGACACCCCUGUAAACAGAAGUGUGAACACAGCACAAUCGCAAGUGGAAAAGGAGAAAGUGAAAACAAAGAACUGAUGUCUGGAGAGAAAACCAAGGCAAGUCGAGGAAGGGAAGGGGCAUUUGAGAAACCUAUCUGUGGAAUCACCGAAGAGCUGGUCCACGACGAAAAAGGGGUUCCAAAAUGUAGAGUAAAAGCAACUAGUGGAGGUGCUAGAAAUGGUGAGUGAGUUGUAGAGAGACAUCUCUGAGAGUAACUUCAAUAAGGGUGUUUUGUCAGUGUCAGCUUGCAUUAGAUUCAGGUGUAUGAAACAGAAAAAUUAAAAACAAAAUCAUGACUUAAGCAAGAUAGAUAUUGCUCUUUCUAUCCAGGGCUGACAAUGGUGGUUUCAUAGCAUUAGGGCAUCAUGUUCCAGAUGGCUUCUGGAACACCAGGCACUAAAUCAGCAUUGCAAGCCAUUAAAAAGGUGGGAAGAACAAAGAGCUGUGCACUACUUCUCUUUAAGAAGAUUUCAUGGACGUCCCCACAAUACUUCCUUGUAUGUCUCGUUGACCAAAACUUAGACACAUAAUCAUACCUAGCUGCAAGAGAGGCUAGGAGAUAGAGUCUUUUAGAUGAGUGCCUGUGCAUCCCAAUAAAAUGAGCAUCUGUUACUAAGGAAAAUAAAGAGUAUGGAUGAAUAUGGAUGUUGGGACAGACAACAAACAGCCUCUGUGAAAGGUAGUAAAGGAGAGAGCCAGGGGGAGAAGUUUUCAUCUAGGACAGUGAGUCUCAUAAAUCCUGGAUUCCUUCUCCUGCUCCUCUUGGCCCUCAUUUCUUCUGUCAUCCAAAAGCCUCUUUCUGGGGGGACCCAAUUAGCCCUACUUUCUCUCCAGAAGAACCUCAGUCCUGGAACUGGACUAUGGCUCAGUCAGUGACAUUGGUGUCAGGUUCCUAUUCACUGUUACUCUGCAGAACCCCAAACCCUGGCAAAACCAUCUCCAACAUCAUCUCCUCAUACCUUCUCCCCCUACCGGUUAUGCCCUACACUACCAGGGAUUUUCUCCUUUAGAACUGGGUUUGGAUUCAAAAGGCAAACUCUCUUCAUGCCAAAAAGCCUCUGCACAUUGGCUCCAGUCAUACAUUCUGGAUAGAAAUAAUUUAGUAUCGAAUAAGCAUCCCUGUCUGUUCAUGGGGCUCACUUAUUUUUAAAAAUACAGAAAAUGUUGAGCACCCUCUCAUCAUUUCAAUAAUGAAGAGCUCUAAGAUUCAUCACACUAUUUUCAUUGGUAAGAGGUAGAACAUGGGAGAAAAAUCUAAAGCCCAACAUAAGUAAAGGAAAGACUUAUGGCUUAGUAUAGGUAAGCCUAAGUUAGUUUGUAUUAUCCCACAAAGAUAGUUUUAAUUUUAAACCAAAAAAGCAUCUUUCCUUGAAAACUCAGAAACAUGUUUUAGAUUAGGAAAAACAGAUCCUUGAUAUUCUUCCAUCCCGGCCAUGAGGGAAAAGGAAUAGUCGGUGUUCCUUAGAGCAACAAUGUUGCCGUAAGGCCAGGAGUCAACCAUAUACCCAGGCAAUUACCAGUUCCUUGGGGAGGGAGUCAAAAUUAGCAAUCUGUGAUUAUGUCAUUUGUGUAACCUAAUGUGGACAGGUGGCAUGUGAAGUACUAACUGAUGUGUUUCACAUCCUGGCCUGCUCAGACUGCACUUCAAAGAACUUGUUCACUUGUACCCCUUUUCGAUCCUCUCCCCAAAACUAAACAAACACCCUCUGAGUUAGGAAAGAGGAGGAAUAGGAUUAUUAGAAUGUAAGCAGGAGAAUUAGACCCUGGUGAGAUCUAUGAAAUGGGGCAGAAGGGAGGGAAAACAAUAGAUUCCCAGAUAGGUUUAGCAAUUCAAGGGCAGAGGGACUUUUGAUCAAAACCAGGAAAGUGAAUAUCAUGUCCCCUUUCUCUCAAUACCUUUCAAGGUAUAAUAUAGAAUGCUGAUAGGACAGAUCUAAAAGACAGUCUGAAACCACUCACAUGUGGUGUGUGUGUGUCUGUAUGUGUGGUGUGUGUGUGCAUGUGUUUGUGUCUUCAUGGGGAACAGGGAGGAACAUCUUCGAAGGAUGAGGAAGGGCCAGGCGACCCAAAAGCCCUUAGGAUGAGGAAGACACAGGAUAUAAGGUGAUAUGGUUUGGCUUUGUCAUCUUGAAUUAUAAUCCCACAAUCCCCUUGUGUUGUGACAGGGAGCUGGUGGGAGGUGACUGAAUCAUGGGGUGUUUUCCCCCAUGCUGUUCUUGUGAUAGUGAAUGAGUUCUCAUGAGAUCUGAUGGUU